CCUACGGGUGGCAGCAGUGAGGAAUAUUGGUCAAUGGACGAGAGUCUGAACCAGCCAAGUAGCGUGAAGGAUGACUGCCCUAUGGGUUGUAAACUUCUUUUAUAUGGGAAUAAAAUGUUCCACGUGUGGGAUUUUGUAUGUACCAUAUGAAUAAGGAUCGGCUAACUCCGUGCCAGCAGCCGCGGUAAUACGGAGGAUCCGAGCGUUAUCCGGUUUUAUUGGGUUUAAAGGGAGCGUAGGUGGAUUGUUAAGUCAGUUGUGAAAGUUUGCGGCUCAACCGUAAAAGUGCAGUUGAAACUGGCAGUCUUGAGUACAGUAGAGGUGGGCGGAAUGCGUGGUGUAGCGGUGAAAUGCUUAGAUAUCACGAAGAACUCCGAUUGCGAAGGCAGUUCACUGGACUGCAACUGACACUGAGGCUCGAAAGUGUGGGUAUCAAACAGGAUUAGAUACCCCUGUAGUC
rnacentral:rRNA from 1 species